rnacentral:lncRNA from 1 species
GAAAGCUGAAGUUUUUAAGCUUCAGUUCCCCACAUUUUAGAAUUGUUGUUUUAAAUAUCGUAUGCGAAAGCCCUUGAUGACGCCCAAGUGCAGAUGAGAACAGCCGCAAAUUCAGAAGCUUCCAGGGAUCGAACAAUGAAGCUGAAGACGGAAGCUGACAGUGGCAGAUGGAGGAAAAGAAACCAGAUUUAUACUCGUUCCUGAAACAACCACAAAAAAAGGACAAAAUAUUUGAAAAAAUUGGACAAGAAACUGGAAAUCAUAAAAUGAAGGACUGUGAUAUCUAAGGGACAAGAAACAAGUGAGUUUCUUUCAUUUAACUCUUUAAUCCCUCUGGAGUCACUUUUGAUGGAGAAGCCUGGUGAGGAGUGAUCAUCGAACUACAUACAUAUUCUCCCAGCGUAUUUUAUGGAGUAACCCUCAUUCCGAAUAUUGCCUGCUGCCGACUUUCUCAUACGCUGCAUUCCGGUUCUCGCCACGUCAUUAGCCAAGCUCCAGUUGUUCCUGGGUAUCGCAGCACAUAUGGUCUACGGAUCACCCACAGUCUUCAGGCCCCCUGCUAGAUGACCAGAUGGACGGCUGACUUCCCAGCAACCAGGAUGCCACGGACAUCCUGUCAUCCACCAUCGCAAAGCACCUUUGCUCCCUGCAUUCACCAAGGCUGAAACAAGACCGUUCUGACCCCGAUUCUGGCAAAUGACCUCGGCCCUCAUAAACGGGUCUGCAGAAUUUAACUACACCUUGGAUGUGCACGAAAAGGCAGCAUUUCAUCCACGUGUGAGUAGUCAGUCCUCACGAGUGCCCACUGCUGUUGUCGAGUUCAGUCACAUGGUCUCAGGAGUUGUGUGCCUCACUCUGCAGCUGGCUGACUGUGCUCAUUCUCAGCCAGUGGGUUUCGUGGCUGGGGGAAGGUGCAGCUGGCCUGGGCCUGGGCAGGGCCGGAUGGAGCCGCUCGGCUGAUUGGGUCCCGUCUCAACUCCACUGCUUGAAGAUCCUUGAGCUCUCACCGCCUCCAGUCAGUAUCCUGGCCUGGCCACUUACCUUUAGCCUCCGUUUCCACAAAGCAGCUAACGGCUGGCCCUCUGCAGCUCACCUCAGCCUCCAUAUCCUGUGUAGAUGGGGAGUUAAAACAACUCGUGCCUGUAAUUGCUCACUGAGCCUUCGAGUUGGUGUUGCCGAGCCCCAGGCUGCUUAAGGAAAGCUGAGAAAAGUCUCUCUUUCCAGAGUCCAAAACGAAGGGUACAGACAGGAGCCUCCCCACCCCUGCCCUCAGGAGACUCUCACUUCCAGCCUCUAGUGAGCUGCACCCAGGGUUGGGCAAACUCGGACAUGAGUGCACAACGGACUGCUCUCUCCAACUUGUGCAGAGAUUCCCAGGCCCGGGAGGAACAAACCUUUCUUCUGUCUGACCCCAAAGCCGACUUAAGCCUUGGUAUGCUAAAUGGG